GACGAACGCUGGCGGCGUGCUUAAUACAUGCAAGUCGAACGAGGCCCAUCCGGUUGAAAGACUGGAGAAGGCCGAGUGGCGAACGGGUGAGUAACACGUGAGCAACCUGCCCCGAAGACCGGGAUAACAGUGGGAAACCGCUGCUAAUACCGGAUGUCCCCACCGAGUCUCCUGGCCUGGUGAGGAAAUGGACUCCGCUUCGGGAGGGGCUCGCGGCCUAUCAGCUUGUUGGUGGGGUAACGGCCUACCAAGGCGACGACGGGUAGCUGGUCUGAGA
rnacentral:rRNA from 1 species